GGUCAUCCUACAGCUUGACAUUGCAUUUAAGAUGGACACACUGAUACAGGAUGGAGCGAUGUCAACAUCGAUGUGGGCCUGGCCUACAGAGACGACACCGUCAGCGAGUGGACUGAGAUGGCGCACUCUUACGAGCAGAGGAAGCUCACCUGCACUUUACU